CACGUAGGGUGCGAGCGUUUGUCCGGAAUUAUUGGGCGUAAAGAGCUCGUAGGCGGUGUGUCGCGUCGGCCGUGAAAACCUGCAGCUUAACUGUGGGCUUGCGGUCGAUACGGGCAUCACUGGAGUUCGGCAGGGGAGACUGGAAUUCCUGGUGUAGCGGUGAAAUGCGCAGAUAUCAGGAGGAACACCUGGUGGCGAAGGCGGCCGUCUGGGCCGACCCUGACGC
rnacentral:rRNA from 1 species